GACGAACACUGGCGGCGCGCCUAACACAUGCAAGUCGAACGAGCGAGAGAGAGCUUGCUUUCUUGAGCGAGUGGCGAACGGGUGAGUAACGCGUGAGGAACCUGCCUCAAAGAGGGGGACAACAGUUGGAAACGACUGCUAAUACCGCAUAAGCCCACGGUGCCGCAUGGCACAGAGGGAAAAGGAGCAAUCCGCUUUGAGAUGGCCUCGCGUCCGAUUAGCUAGUUGGUGAGGUAACGGCCCACCAAGGCGACGAUCGGUGGCCGGACUGAGAGGUUGAACGGCCACAUUGGGACUGAGACACGGCCCAGACUCCUACGGGAGGCAGCAGUGGGGAAUAUUGCACAAUGGGGGAAACCCUGAUGCAGCGACGCCGCGUGGAGGAAGAAGGUCUUCGGAUUGUAAACUCCUGUUGUUGGGGAAGAUAAUAACGGUACCCAACAAGGAAGUGACGGCUAACUACGUG
rnacentral:rRNA from 1 species